UCAUCAAAUUUCAAUGCUGAGGCAUAUGUCAGGAAUUUUGCUGACAAGGAUGGGAAAAUCUGGCAAGGAGGUGGUGGACGAAAUCCUCCUCCUGAGGCACCUCAUCUCGUCAUGACUACCCCUGAAAUAGAGGCUCUAAGGCCAAAGUCACCCAUGAAGAACCACCAGUGAAAAACCAGCAGCAACAGCAAUCAACAUCCAUUUCUCUAACGACGGCCAAUUCUUCCAGCAGGAGGGCUGCUGGAAAUUCUCCACAGAAUCCAAGCACUUUCAGUUUGAACCAAGAGACUUCUAACUCUAACCCUUCAACUCCGGCUGCAUGGGCUUCUCCAAUGGAGGGUUUUAGAGGACGAGAAAGUGGGAAUAUGCCUUUAGAGGACAAACUUUUUGACAUGUAUGGAUAUGCCGGGCAGGCAAAUGGGGAGUACCUUGAUUUUGAGUCUCAAAGACCAAUGAAUUUGUUGUAAGAAACACGUGUCAUAAAAUUUUGUUGUAUUCCCUGUAAUUUUUUUCCCAACUAAAAUAUAGAUGGAAAGGGAUGCCAUUUCAUUUCAUACCAUCUUCACAUGUGGCCAUCGAGGUAAAACUGAUCGCUGGUGAAUGGUCAUCUCCGCAGGGAAAUCAGAUAGCGAUUAUCGCUAAACCCAUAAAUCAAAAAUAGCCUUUCGUAAGGCAGCGGUACUCGUGUAUAACCUUUAAUUUUAUACUUUAACGCUGUUAUUUUAUUACCUUUGAAAUGUCCAGCGUUACCAAUUUACCAUGGCAAACAAAUCUUCUGAUUACAGCUUGCCAAACCCUGCCAUAAUUAGCUUUAUGAUAAUCA
rnacentral:misc_RNA from 1 species